rnacentral:rRNA from 1 species
GACGAACCGUGCGAACGUUGUUCGGAAUCACUGGGCUUAAAGGGCGCGUAGGCGGGCUCACAAGUCAGGGGUGAAAUCCCACGGCUCAACCGUGGAAGUGCCUUUGAUACUGUGGGGCUUGAGGGAGGUAGGGGCGUGCGGAACUUCCGGUGGAGCGGUGAAAUGCGUAGAUAUCCGGAGGAACACCGAAGGCGAAGGCAGUGUCCUGGGGAGUACCUGACGCUCAGGUGCGAAAGCCAGGGGAGCGAACGGG